CGAGAUGCCUCACUGUAUCCUAAGCUCUUGAGCCAGUCUGAUCAUGCACACGGUCCAUCUUCUCUGUCUGGCAGCUCUAAGCAUCUGCACACUAAUAACUUGCCAUCCUAUACAAAAGGAAACAAUCCAAACAGAUUUAAGAAGUGAAAAUCAGAGAGAUAUGGAGGCCAAGAUCAGCAGCUAUUUCCUGAUGAUUAAAUUUGGUAAUAGGAUGAGGAAAGCCAUUCCUCAACAGUCAAAAGGAGAAAUUUUACUGAAGAAAAGAAGCAAGGACUGCCUUUCAGUACUUGAUAUUAAAAAUAAUAAUAUAAUGUGCUUGGAUGCAACUGAAAAGCCAUAUAUUUCAGUUGAUGUCAUUAAUAAGGACUGCUUUAUAACAAUUCCAAGAAAGAAUUCCUGUCAAUCUACAUGCAGGAGUGACGCAAUGAUCAAGCUUUUUGGAGCUAAAAGCCACACUGAGGCUUCUAGUGCAGAAUUACCUCUUUCUCUGCAAUCAAACAACCAUAAAACACAUCUCAGGCAGAGAAGAAGCCAACAUGUUGACCCAGCUGAUCCUUUGGGAUUCGAGAAUCCCAAGUCAAGGACCACCAAUUAUCGAAGACCAAAUCGAGAGCAAGAGCGUGAGCGCAGCAGUAAUGUUUCUAAAGAGACCAUCACUUCCUAUGAUGACCCUUUACACGUACUGCUCUCCAAGAGCCCAGUCAGUCCAAAUUUGCAAAAGGAAAAGAAAAACAAGCAAGUUGCACCAUCUGAUCCGUUCUGAACAAAUUACUGACCACACCGAUCUGAAGAACUUGUAUUGUAAUGUUAAGAAGGCAAAUGGUUCCAUGGAAACAUAUAACCAGCAAGUAUAUGAUGCAAUCCAGGGCCUCUUUUUCAGCUCAGUAGUGAGGCUAGUUUAGGUCACUGCUUGUCAGUCCUUUCACCUUUUUAAGUCAGUUAAAAUUUAAACUACCUUGCAAUGCUGUGGCAAUGAUGUUGCUUUCAUUAGAACUGUGCAAGUACAUUUUUCAUUGAUUUAUGUAGGUAAUAUCAUGAAAUACUAAGAAUUACAUGCAGUUGGCAAUUAUUUUCUUGCAAUGUUUGGAGUCUGCAAUUUAUAUCAUAUUUCAAGUGUUGUCAGUAGACAUAAAUAUCAUAGUUUCAAACAUAUAUGAGAUGGUGCUGGCCACCUCUACUGAAUUAUUUAUUGAAGAAGUAUUGAUACUUUUUUUUAUUUAUUAUAUUUUAUAUUGAUAUCUUUAAUCUUAGAAAAAUGAUCAAAUAUCAAUUUAUCAAAAAAUUCCUGAAAAGAUUAUUUAAUUUAAGGGUAAUUUAAACAGUUCUAAGAAAGUAAUUACCAGUAUUCAUUGAUUAAAAUGUAUAAAGCAUUUUGCAAAAAAUGUAAUGGAUGCAUUCAAACAAUAAAAUGAUUGAAAAUUUGA